UCACUCUGAUUUUAUUAAUGAACUUGUUAGUGAGGAGUAAACACAGCGGCAAGCCUCAUCUGCAUCUUGUGGGGCUGCAGCCCGGGGCUUUGCUUGGAGGGGAACCAGGACGAGACCUUGGUGAACACCUCGGUGGAGGCAAAGCAACUUGAGGCAAAACCUAGGGUUUAAAAGCAGCGAGUAGGAGAGCUGGGGCUCUGCGUACCAGAAGAGGAGUUUUACUGCAUGUGCCCUGGGACAAGGGGCAAGCCCCACAGCUGCCAGAGCAGUGCCUUCCUUGAGCAUCCUCCUCCCAUCUGCUGAAACGAACACCUGGCCCCAGGGACAUCUCUCAAAGAACCGAAGCUGGAUGGUGUGGUAAGAGAAGAGAGCACAGAAACCCGUGCAUAACACCAGAAUACGAUGACAUGCCGUGAUGACACCAGUGCCUUCUGCAAGCCUCUGUGCGCUCUAGGAAUCCGCGUUCUCCAGGCUUAAAAUGAAACCUGCAGUUCUGAAAGGAAUUACAGAUUCAGACCGAUACCUUGGUGUGGUGCUGCCAAAGCGAGCCAGAUGCAGGGCCCUUUUUGUUGGGUAAAUGUGUCUGCAAGCGACUGAGCGCGGGUGGGAUGAGAGAACUUCUGCUUAGCAAAAUAUUUGAAUUAGAGAGGCAGUUCAGUAAUUGCGUUUUUAACUAUAUUAAAGCCUGUUCCUUGAAAUCUGA